UACGAAGGGGGCUAGCGUUGCUCGGAAUCACUGGGCGUAAAGGGUGCGUAGGCGGGUCUUUUAAGUCAGGGGUGAAAUCCUGGAGCUCAACUCCAGAACUGCCUUGAUACUGGAGAUCUUGAGUCCGGGAGAGGUGAGUGGAACUGCGAGUGUAGAGGUGAAAUUCGUAGAUAUUCGCAAGAACACCAGUGGCGAAGGCGGCUCACUGGCCCGGUACUGACGCUGAGACGACGAA
rnacentral:rRNA from 1 species